rnacentral:rRNA from 1 species
UACGUAGGGUGCAAGCGUUGUCCGGAAUUAUUGGGCGUAAAGAGCUCGUAGGCGGUUUGUCGCGUCUGCUGUGAAAACGCGAGGCUCAACCUCGCGCCUGCAGUGGGUACGGGCAGACUAGAGUGCGGUAGGGGAGAUUGGAAUUCCUGGUGUAGCGGUGGAAUGCGCAGAUAUCAGGAGGAACACCGAUGGCGAAGGCAGACCGCUGGGCCGUAACUGACGCUGAGGAGCGAAAGCGUGGGGAGCGAACAGG